rnacentral:rRNA from 1 species
GAGUGAAGCGGCAACAGCUCAAAUUUGAAAUCUGGGUCCGAAUUGUAAUUUGUAGAGGAUGAUUUUGGUGCGGUUCUUCCGAGUUCCUUGGAACAGGACGCCUUAGAGGGUGAGAGCCCCGUACGGUUGAAUGCCGCCUCUGUAAAUCUCCUUCGACGAGUCGAGUAGUUUGGGAAUGCUGCUCUAAAUGGGAGGUAAAUUUCUUCUAAAGCUAAAUAUUGGCCAGAGACCGAUAGCGCACAAGUAGAGUGAUCGAAAGAUGAAAAGCACUUUGAAAAGAGGGUUAAAUAGCACGUGAAAUUGUUGAAAGGGAAGGAUUUGUGACCAGACUUUUUCUGGGGAUCAUCCGGGGUUCUCUCCGGUGCACUUCCCAGUAAGGCCAGCAUCGGUUUUCGGCGUGGGAUAAAGCAGUAGGAAUGUGGCUCUGGGAGUGUUAUAGCCUAUUGUAUACCGCGCUGGGGACCGAGGUUCGCGCUUCUGCAAGGAUGCUGGCGUAAUGGUUAUCAAUCACCCGUCUUGAAACACGGACCAAGGAGUCGAACAUUUGUGCGAGUGUUUGGGUGUUAAACCCUCACGCGUAAUGAAAGUGAACGGAGGUGAGAGCGGUGCAUCAUCGACCGAUCCUGAAGUUUUCGGAUGGAUUUGAGUAAGAGCAUAACUGUUCGGACCCGAAAGAUGGUGAACUAUGCGUGGAUAGGGUGAAGCCAG